UACGAAGGGGACUAGCGUUGUUCGGAAUCACUGGGCGUAAAGGGCUCGUAGGUGGCCAACUAAGUCAGACGUGAAAUCCCUCGGCUUAACCGGGGAACUGCGUCUGAUACUGGAUGGCUUGAGUUCGGGAGAGGGAUGCGGAAUUCCAGGUGUAGCGGUGAAAUGCGUAGAUAUCUGGAGGAACACCGGUGGCGAAGGCGGCAUCCUGGACCGACACUGACGCUGAGGAGCGAAAGCCAGGGGAGCAAACGGG
rnacentral:rRNA from 1 species